rnacentral:rRNA from 1 species
UACGUAGGGUGCGAGCGUUGUCCGGAAUUAUUGGGCGUAAAGAGCUCGUAGGCGGUUUGUCGCGUCGACUGUGAAAACCCGAGGCUUAACCCGCGGCUGCAGUCGAUACGGGCAGACUAGAGUUCGGUAGGGAGACUGGAAUUCCUGGUGUAGCGGUGAAAUGCGCAGAUAUCAGGAGGAACACCGGUGGCGAAGGCGGGUCUCUGGGCCGAUACUGACGCUGAGGAGCGAAAGCGUGGGGAGCGAACAGG